UACAGAGGGUGCAAGCGUUGUUCGGAAUUACUGGGCGUAAAGCGCACGUAGGCGGAUAUUUAAGUCAGGGGUGAAAUCCCAGAGCUCAACUCUGGAACUGCCUUUGAUACUGGGUAUCUCGAGUAUGGAAGAGGUGAGUGGAAGUUACCGAGUGUAGAGGUGAAAAUUCGUAGAUAUUCGGAGGAACACCAGUGGCGAAGGCGGCUCACUGGUCCAUUACUGACGCUGAGGUGGCGAAAGGCGUGGGGAGAAACA
rnacentral:rRNA from 1 species